rnacentral:rRNA from 1 species
AUUGAACGCUGGCGGCAGGCCUAACACAUGCACGUCGAACGAGUGGCGGACGGGUGAGUAAUGUCUGGGAAACUGCCUGAUGGAGGGGGAUAACUACUGGAAACGGUAGCUAAUACCGCAUACCAUCGGAUGUGCCCAAAUGGGAUUAGCUAGUGGGUGGGGUAAAGGCGCACCUAGGCUACGAUCCCUAGCUGGUCUGAGAGGAUGACCAGCCACAAUGGAACUGAGACACGGUCCAAACGCCUACGGAAGGGAGCAGUGGGGAAUAUUGAAAAAGGGGCGCAAGCCUGAUGCAGCCAUGCCGCGUGUAUGAAGAAGGCCUUCGGGUUGGAAAGUACUUUCAGCGGGGAGGCGUUACCCGCAGAAGAAGCACCGGCUAACUCCGUGCCAGCAGCCGCGGUAAUUC